rnacentral:rRNA from 1 species
GAUGAACGCUGGCGGCGUGCCUAAUACAUGCAAGUAGAACGCUGAAGGAAGGAGUUUGCUCUUUCCGGAUGAGUCGCGAACGGGUGAGUCACGCGUAGGUCACGUGCCUGGUAGCGGGGGAACACUAUGGGACACGAUAGAUAAUACCGCAUAACAGUAGAUGUUGCAUGAUAUCUACUUAAAAGGCACAAUUGCACCAAUAACAGAUGGAUGUGCGUUGUAUUAGCUAGUUGGUGAGGUAACGGCUCACCAAGGCGACGAUACAUAGCCGACCUGAGAGGGUGAUCGGCCACACUGGGACUGAGACACGGCCCAGACUCCUACGGGAGGCAGCAGUAGGGAAUCUUCGGCAAUGGACGGAAGUCUGACCGAGCAACGCCGCGUGAGUGAAGAAGGUUUUCGGAUCGUAAAGCUCUGUUGUAAGAGAAGAACGAGUGUGAGAGUGGAAAGUUCACACUGUGACGGUAUCUUACCAGAAAGGGACGGCUAACUACGUG